UUAAUUUAAAGGGCUAAUCUGUCCACGUGGCUGGAGAUAUCCCGAGAGAUCAGGUUUCUUGAGAUUAUUUUCCUGUCCAACUUGUCCAGGCAACAGGCGUCCUGCGUCCAGGGCUCCAGGCCUCACAAACAUACGGGAGUGGCGCUGACGCCGACGGGAUAAACGGUCGAUGCUGCGUACGACAAUGGACACCAGCCAUUGCCUGUUGGUCACUCCGGAGGAAGCGCGACGGCGCCAUCCACGGGCCAGAACGAACUCGGCGCCCAGGCUCGGACGUGUGUUUGUGCGAUCGAUCUGGGCCAGCAACCGCGACGGGCUCCUCGUGGUUAUCCGGUUGAGUCUCGUUGAUCCGAUCUGCUGCUCCGGUAGUCCGGUGGUGGCGUGGGGUGCGAUGACAUCUCUGAUUCUCCAGCCGCAACCUGUUUGAUGAUAUGCGUCUGUGGGUUCUGCUCGGAGAACUCGCAUGCCUUGCCUGCGCCAAGCACUCUUGCCAGGGUUGUAGGUGCACACGGUGGAGCCAAUAGGAGGAUGGAAUACGGCUUGCGGUUAUUUUUCUAGAGUUGUAGAAGUUGAGAGCGUAUUGAUCACAUAACCUGAUCAUUUAUCUCAGAUGGGAAAUCUAAUUAAGUUAGUGCGGCCUGUUUGUCAAGGGGAAUGUUGAUGCAAAAACCUGAUUUGACUGAAUGCUUAUGAAUUUCCUGGUUCAGAGUUUGUGUUGUUGGACUCAGAGGAUUAUAGAGUCAGCUCUGCUAGACAAUUACCUCUGUCUCGUUGGUGGCAUUGCAUGGACAGGUGUCCUGGACCAAUCAACAUACAGUAAUGCACUUAUUUUGAAAAGGUUUCUGGGAAAACCUUGUAUUCUUUGUGGGUAUGGGGAGUGCUGCACUGUGUGACUUGUACGGAAGAUUUCAACCACGACCUUUGCGUCUGAAUUGUUUCAGUGUCCAUUUUCGAAUCCAUCUGUACUAGACAUAUCUGUAUACAAGGGUGUGGACGAUAUCUUGGUAUGGAGGUGCUUCAGAAGAUAAAUAUGAUGGUAAUCCGAAACCCCUUUGUUAUAAUGGUACAUGUAUGAUAAAUGUCAUGCUAGUUUCAUGCUCUUGCUUGGAUCAUUAUGUGUUAGGAUGUUCAGAUUGUUGGUGUUACCACAUGCAAGUAGUUAUGCAUGAUACCCUUUAUUGAAGUAAAGUAGCAUGUUCAAAGCAUAUUGAAGACCAUGAUAGUAUCCCUGUGAAAGGGAACUGAAGUUUUGCUUUAGGGGUGCUCAAUGGCAGAUAUGUUUUAGAUCAUGGUUUUAUUAGGAAAAAACAAAAUUAUUAUGCAUCUAGAGGCCCCAAAUGAUGAAUUGUUGAGGAAAACGCACCCAACUAAAUAAUUAUUUAUAAAUGCUGGAAAUGCCAAGCAUAAGCCUACAUGUUCUUUUGGGGUGUGAAAUCUGGAUUUUUUGUGAAGCAAUCAAAUCAAUCAUAAAAAACAGUUCGAUUAUAUUUCUAUUGAUUGACUACUAUUGAAAAAAAGACUACUAUUGAAAAAGCUAUAGGAGAGGCUUAUAGUAAAACGUAGUGUUAGAACAUGCUUGUAACUCCCACGACAUUCUUUUCUAGCUUUUACUAUUAGUUUGUCUGUUGCAAUCACGCAUAGGCGGCUUUUGAUUUGGGAGCACUUAAGUACAAACCAUAUAGAAAAACUGGAAUGUCACGAAGUAAACUAAUACUAAGGGCUGGAAGGUCUCAUCCAACAGCUCCUUGCACUAAAAAUAGUCCGAUCUUUUUUGGAAGAAAAAUAGAUGGAUUACAAAAUGCAAAUGAAUGUCGCUGUUGGAAGAGUAAUGCAACAACUUCGACACAAACCCUAACAUCAGACCCUUGACAGUGCGCUGUUAUCAGUGAAUAUCUGGGGGAAAAUAAAGUACUCCCUCCGUCCAACAAAGGAUGUCUCAACUUUGACUAAAUUUGAAUGCAUCUAUAUGAAAAUGCACAGACAUGAAAACUGUUGUUUUCUGCAAUAAUAGCUGACCAUAUGGAGCAUUGCAGCAAUAUGGUUCAACCAGAUAGCUUUGUCUUAUGCUUGAGCACACUUAAUCCAGUCUAUGCAUAAUUACAGGCCAAACAGUGAAUGUAAAUUCAAUAUUACCGUUUCAAGCAUUUUACCUGCUUAAAAUGGUUUACUAGGACAGUUUUAUUCACUCAACCCUGCUAUGGAAAAAUGCAAAUUACUAGUGUCGUAAGGAAAACGUUUGUUAUGUAUUCUACUGGUACAAGAGAAGUUAUGCAACUAUGCGAAGCUUACAAAAAGAUAGACCUAUCAAUUGUAUGUAAGAAAACAUUUCUAUAUGUUUGAUUUCUCACUAGUCACUCUACAAGCCUCGGGUUAUUAUACAAACAAAGUGGAUUGAGGUUACAGAGUAUCUGGUAAAUUAUGGAGAAUGCAUGUUUUCUCUUGUUCAAAUUGCUCUCAUGAAAGUUCAUGUGUCAGUGUCACAGUAGAGGAACCCAUGAGGCAUGAGCUAUGUGUGGUCCAGUCUUACUUGUAAGUUAGUCCAUUUAAUUGGUAUAACUCUAGACCUUUGGCAUUCCUGCUAGUUGAAAGGGCAGCCAGGGUUAGUGAACAUCGUUAAUUUUAUGAUAGUAGUGAUAAGUGGUUCUUUCCCUAUAUUACCACCAAUGUCACAAUCUGUGAGUUGUGCACUCCUUUUUUUUACUCCACUAAAUAGCCAUGGCAUAUUUUCCUGAAAUUAUCUUGGAAUACAGUAUUUGUCACGAGCUCCAAUUGUACUAUAAGAAACGAGCUGUUGUAAGCGUGUCUCCCUUUGUUUUCUACAUUUCAUUAUUAUAGUUUUUAUUUUAUUUUAUUCCCUUUUUUUAUGCUUCAAUCAUCUUGCUUCUUUGCUACUACGAAAUGUUCCUUGAACUGGCUCUAUGUGGUGGCCAUGAAAAUCAGUUAUUUGGGUCUACUUAUUAAUACAACAUUUUGAGGUAACAGAAAGCGAUCUCCAGAGGUAAGCAGAUCCACUUUCUGAUAAAAAAAAUUCCAAGAAAAAGGAAAUCACCCCAUCACAGAAUUUUAGUCUCUGCCAAUAGCUUGUUAGCAUUCAGCUUGUUGCAGCAGUGCACAUUACUUUUUACCCGCUACUUUUUCUGCUUGAUCAGUAAGGCCUUUAACUUUCACCGGGCCAUUUUCACGCUUUUAUCGUGCAUGUUUAGUAGAUAUAGCUUAGUUUUCAACUGGCGCAGAUGAUAUCUUUGCACCCUUUUUUGCCCUGAGUACAAGCACAACUAUACUCGAAAAAUAAUAAUAAUAGAUGCACCUUUUACCAUGUUCUCUGUGGAAACAUCAUUUUCUUUUCAAUUUUAUGGGCACAACUAUAUUUGGAGUCCGCAUAUCCAAAGUAACCAAAGCUCCGGCAUUCAAAGAGGUGUAAUACUUGAUGGCGCUGAUCACACAAGCACAGCGCAAUACCUGAAUUAGGUCUCCCAGGUUCUGCUCCAUAUCACAUAGUACCUUCUGAAAGGUCUGGCUUUAUGAAAAGGAAUGCCUGUUAGUUGGAGCAUAUUUAGUAUAUGUCCCUGGCUGCAAACUGAUCCCUUGACAUCGGGGUUGUGGCAAUUGCUGACUAUCUCUUUGGAGAUGACGAUUCUUCCGGCACCUUGUAUGCGCAUGGUAUCCGCCAGUUGCAUCAGUUACAUUUUUACAAGGAGAUGCUGAAUAUGAUCACAGACCCAUGAGCCUGAACAGAACAUUUCAGGAACCACGAUAACUGAGCUCCAGAUAUUGAUAAUGACAUGGUGUUACUGGUAUGUCAUGUUCUUAAGCAAUGAUGUUCCAUAGUUGUCUAACAUUCUCUUGUGAGACAUGUAGGUUAUUAUAACAGUAUUCGGGGUUCCCUACUUGCAUGCUUCAUAUGGGAUAAGGUUUACCUGUGCCCAGUGCCCCAGUUCAAUGAUUCUGCAUUUCUGCUACUCUAGUACUCUACAGACUACAGUACAGCAGUCGAUUUGAAGUAUGCAAUAUUUUAGCUGCCCGGGCAUCAACCACAAGGAGCAUGCCGGUGAACUACAGCAUAAUAUUUGCAGACCUACUCUUGCAGUCCAGAUGGGAGCACAGGACGCACCCUUCCUCGGUUCAAGAAAAAUGCCUCAUGCAGUGCGCGAGCGCGGUACAACAGGAGGUAAUUAAUUAUAACAGCAUGGAUCACUAGUAGCUCUCUCUCUUUGUACGUUUAUACCGCCCCGGGAUUAUGAUAUGUUUUGCCUUAUUGCGACAUGCACAUCAUGCCA